AGGAUAAUAGUUUAAAAAAAACAUUUAAAUUGCACUUAAAAAUUAUUGUAACUUUCAAUUUAUCUUU
rnacentral:tRNA from 1 species